CCUACGGGUGGCUGCAGUGGGGAAUAUUGCACAAUGGGGGGAACCCUGAUGCAGCGACGCCGCGUGAGUGAAGAAGCACUUCGGUAUGUAAAGCUCUAUCAGCAGGGAAGAAAAUGACGGUACCUGACUAAGAAGCCCCGGCUAACUACGUGCCAGCAGCCGCGGUAAUACGUAGGGGGCAAGCGUUAUCCGGAUUUACUGGGUGUAAAGGGAGCGUAGACGGCAGUGCAAGCCUGAAGUGAAAGCCCGCGGCCCAACUGCGGGACUGCUUUUGAAACUGCGCGGCUAGAGUGCAGGAGGGGGAAGCGGAAUUCCUGGUGUAGCGGUGAAAUGCGUAGAUAUUAGGAGGAACACCAGUGGCGAAGGCGGCUUACUGGACAGUAACUGACGUUGAGGCUCGAAAGCGUGGGGAGCAAACAGGAUUAGAUACCCGAGUAGUC
rnacentral:rRNA from 1 species